rnacentral:rRNA from 1 species
GACGAACGCUGGCGGCGUGCUUAACACAUUCAAGUCGAACGGAAAGGCCCUGCUUUUGUGGGGUGCUCGAGUGGCGAACGGGUGAGUAACACGUGAGUAACCUGCCCUUGACUUUGGGGUAACUUCAGGAAACUGGGGCUAAUACCGGAUAGGAGCUCCUGCUGCAUGGUGGGGGUUGGAAAGUUUCGGCGGUUGGGGAUGGACUCGCGGCUUAUCAGCUUGUUGGUGGGGUAGUGGCUUACCAAGGCUUUGACGGGUAGCCGGCCUGAGAGGGUGACCGGCCACAUUGGGACUGAGAUACGGCCCAGACUCCUACGGGAGGCAGCAGUGGGGAAUAUUGCACAAUGGGCGGAAGCCUGAUGCAGCAACGCCGCGUGCGGGAUGACGGCCUUCGGGUUGUAAACCGCUUUCGCCUGUGACGAAGCGUGAGUGACGGUAAUGGGUAAAGAAGCACCGGCUAACUACGUG